CAGAUGCAUUUUUUAUUCAAAUUCUGAUGGCACAUAUUUACUUCCAUAAACAGCCUCACUGAAUUAUUCAUUCAAAGGUUUAGCAGCAAAAAGAGUUUUAGGAUUGAAAAUGUUUAUUUUAUUAAUAUAUAGUUUCAUUAAAAUGCAAUUAAUUAAUUACACACCCUGCAAAAACCUUGACUAAAGAUUCACUAAUAUUAAAGAAAAUAAUCGACAUGAAUAAAUUUAUUGCUUUUGUUUGUUGUAGAUUUCACCACUAAAAUGCAAAAAAAACAAUCCCAUGACUCAAAAUAAAAUAAGUGUGAAUAAAUAAAGUAGAUUCUUAAGGAAUUAAAACGUUGCUGUUUGGUUCCUCAGGACUGAUUCCCCGCUGACGGAGGGCAGAGGAGGAACCAUCAGCAGUCUGGCUGAGCACUGACUGCUGCAUCUGAGCAUGCGUUCCUGGAAGUUGAAGGUCAGUGAAAGGAGAAGCAAACAGCAUCACUUCUGUCAAUCAGGAGAGGCGCGUUCCAGACAGGAAGGAGGGGGAGCUGGGAGGAAGUCACAAAAUAAGGUGAAAAAGAGAGAGGAAUGAGAACAGACGAUAAAUAAUUGAUCCGCCGCUGAGCAGAGCUUUUAAAGAGCGACACCGUCACACCGCAGCACUCGACACAACGUAACCCAGAUAAAUCUGUUUGAACAAAUGUUUGCUUUGCUGCUUUUUCCUUCUGCCAGGUUCAUCAGAAAGCGAUCCAACAUGGCCGAAAGCCUCUGGGAGCCGAGAGGAGGAGUUGUUCUUUUCCAUUCCUUCUGGCUUUUUAUGCACAGAGUGACCUGUUAACAAGCUAAACACACUGACAUUAAAACAUUUGGAUGAUGGCUGAUGGAGGGAAUCAUUUGUUGAUUCAUAAGCCACAUUGUUCACAGCAUAUUUACGUGGUUAAGUUCAGUGUGAAUGAAUAGUACCUCAGUGAUUAAAGGUGUAAAGUGUUAAUUAUUAUCACACCUUCAUCCAGUGGAUUCGUUUAUCCUCAGGUUAAAUGUAGAAACCAGGAGAAGCAGCAGAUCGCUGGGCUUCAGUCAAACACUCUGCAUUCUGCACAACAAACUACAAUCAGACAAAAUAACUACAAGCUAACAGUCACUAUAAAACCUCCUGACGGUGGAUUUCGUCACAGGAAGUCGAAUCGUUUUCUUUCUGAAGGCAAAACAAAACCAGGAACGGAUGGCUGAGUCAGACCAGAGACUUUAAACUCCGACUGCUGUCAUCCUGCCGCUGAAAUUAGCUGAAUCAGAUCAUUUGACCUCAAAAACAAAAUGUCACAUUGCAGCGAGACUUUUAUCUUCAGGACAAAUUACAGUGGAGUGAAAGAAAGGUUUUUUUUCCAGAGAAUGAAAACUGAUUUGUGAUCCAGCAGGAAGAGCUUCAGCCUGAAGCAGAAGCUGAGUUAUGAAAGUCAGGAAGCUUCACGUUUCACGACCAACAUCUCAGCCACCGGUGAUCCAACAUGGCUGCCUGACUGACUGUCAGGCUGAGAGACAAGCUGACAGUUUUCCUCCUGGAAUCCUGAUGGAGACGAGUCAGCAGGUUUCCUGAGACUGGCAGCCGUUGUGGAUCUGGAUCGUGUUUCAGCUGAAGACAGACUGGCGGUUGGAGCCGUCCACACAGAGGGACGUCGAUAUGUAACCAGUGACUGGCAGCUGGAUUUGAUUCCGCCUCUUCAGGGGAACCCAAACCCGACCCACACUCACCGUGGUCCUGCUGAGCGUCUUUCACGCCGAGUCUUCAUCUUUUAACCUUUGACCCGUCCAUACGGAGACGCUUUCAGAUAAACAACAGCAAAAUAAACAGCCCGGUGCCCAACGCGGCUCCUGACAGGCAGAAGUGACAGCUGCUGGAAAAAUCCGGUUCUGAAGUUCAGACUGAAAGAAUAUCAAUCAUCCUCACCAGAAAACACUCGGGUGGCAGACAUGGAGAACCGGCGGUGCUCAGACGCUGAAGGGAACGUAGAUGAAGGAAUGAUAAAUAUUUUCAUCUCCACUCAGUCGAUUAAACAUCAACUGGUCAUCGCUUCAUCAGCUGUUUGUUCACAGAGUGUUCUCCAAGCAUAUUAAUGGGAAAUUGAGUGGAAGAAAAAAGUGGCUUUAUUCUUCAUAAAGAAUAUGAAGGAUGUACAUUUUGAGUUAAAAUGUUUUCACAAAGUUAGCAGGUUCUUACAUGGUAUUUAAAGACGAGGAAGGAAAAAGAUGAAUAAACCGAUUUGUGUCUGUUGGAGCGAAGCAGAACGUUGAGGCUCAUUCACUGAACCGCAGUGACUGGAUGUGAAACAGGAUGUUAGUUUGUGUUAUUAAUUGAAAAACAUCAACAUUUAUGAAAAUCAAUGUGCAGCUCUGAUCUUGGAUAUUUGAUUGAAACUUGGUGCUGAUGUAGUAAUGAUUUGUUCCCUGGCUCUGUUUCCUGCAGAUUGUGCUGCAGAUGCUUCACUGCAGCAUCUCAGAGGCUGCAGCAACGAGCUUUACAUGAAAUGCUGCAGCUUUAC